AACAUCGCGCACCUGCGGGAACCUGCGGAGGGAUCAUUACACAAUACAAUAUGAAGGCUGUCCGCAGCUGGAGUAUUUUAUUACCCUUGUCUUUUGCGCACUUGUUGUUUCCUGGGCGGGUUCGCUCGCCACCAGGACCACCAAAUAAACCUUUUUUAUGCAGUUGCAAUCAGCGUCAGUACAAACAAUGUAAAUCAUUUACAACUUUCAACAAUGGAUCU
rnacentral:misc_RNA from 1 species